UUAGGUUUAAAGGGUCCGCAGGCGGAAUAUUAAGUCAGUGGUGAAAGCCUACAGCUCAACUGUAGAACUGCCAUUGAAACUGUUAUUCUUGAGUAUGGAUGAAGUGGGCGGAAUAUGUCAUGUAGCGGUGAAAUGCAUAGAUAUGACAUGGAACACCAAUUGCGAAGGCAGCUCACUAAKRCCAUUACUGACGCUCAUGGACGAAAGCGUGGGGAGCGAACAGGAUUAGAUACCCUGGUAGUCCACGCUCGUAAACGAUGGCGCACGGGUGCGUAACGCGUAUACAAUCUACCUUUAACUGAGGGAUAGCCCAGAGAAAUUUGGAUUAAUACCUCAUAGUAUUAUAUAAGGCAUCUUUUUAUAAUUAAAACUCCGGUGGUUAAAGAUGAGUAUGCGUCCUAUUAGCUAGUUGGUAAGGUAAAAGCUUACCAAGGCUACGAUAGGUAGGGGGCCUGAAAGGGUGAUCCCCCACACUGGUACUGAGACACGGACCAGACUCCUACGGGAGGCAGCAGUGAGGAAUAUUGCACAAUGGAGGAAACUCUGAUGCAGCCAUGCCGCGUGCAGGAUGAAUGCCCUAUGGGUUGUAAACUGCUUUUAUACAAGAAGAAACAUCGGUACGUGUACCGACUUGACGGUAUUGUAGAAUAAGCACCGGCUAAUACA
rnacentral:rRNA from 1 species